AGGAUGAACGCUGGCGGUCUGCUUAACACAUGCAAGUCGAACGGAGUAGCAAUACUUAGUGGCGGACGGGUGAGUAACGCGUGAGAAUCUACCUUCAGGACGGAGACAACAGUUGGAAACGACUGCUAACCCCCGAUGUACUGAAAAGGCAAAUAUUUAUAGCCUGAAGAAGAGCUCGCGUCCGAUUAGCUAGUUGGAGAGGUAAAAGCUCACCAAGGCGACGAUCGGUAGCUGGUCUGAGAGGACGAUCAGCCACACUGGGACUGAGACACGGCCCAGACUCCUACGGGAGGCAGCAGUGGGGAAUUUUCCGCAAUGGGCGAAAGCCUGACGGAGCAAGACCGCGUGGGGGAAGAAGGCUCUUGGGUUGUAAACCCCUUUUCUCUGGGAAGAACACAAUGACGGUACCAGAGGAAUCAGCAUCGGCUAACUCCGUGCCAGCAGCCGC
rnacentral:rRNA from 1 species